UUUAACAGAUUACCAUUCUUGGCCAUGACCAGGUCUCAGUGAACAGAAGCCAAGCACAAAUAUUAUUCCAGAGGUGAUUAUGUCUUAUGUCAACUCCAAACGGCCAGGAACUGAGGACGGCCAAUAGUCGUAGGAUCUUUUCCCAUUUUGUAGGCUGCAAAAAAUGAACUUCCGGGUAAAAGAAAGACCAAGAAAUUCAGUACCAGCCGCCAAAAACAGAGCCUAUAUAGGACACCUGAGACAUGGCGGUUAAUGCAAAAGAGGGUAGAAAACCUGAAAUACCCUGGAACAGGGCCAGGGAGCAGCCCUUAUGUUUAAUAUGUACCUCCAUGCCCUGCCAGAGUAUUUACAUUGACUGCUACAGAGAACGCCGCGCAGGCAGGAGGACUGGAGGAAAGUACAAAUACAAAAAUCGCAGAAAAUCAAACAUUUUUUAAAAGAUGCCACCAGAUACCAUGCAAGAACAAAAAUAAAUAUCA